AGUGAACGCUGGCGGUAGGCCUAACACAUGCAAGUCGAACGGCAGCACAGUAAGAGCUUGCUCUUACGGGUGGCGAGUGGCGGACGGGUGAGGAAUACAUCGGAAUCUACUUUUUCGUGGGGGAUAACGUAGGGAAACUUACGAUAAUACCGCAUACGACCUACGGGUGAAAGCAGGGGAUAUUCGGACCUUGCGCGAUUGAAUGAGCCGAUGUCGUAUUAGCUAGUUGGCGGGGUAAAGGCCCAGCAAGGCGACGAUCCGUAGCUGGUCUGAGAGGAUGAUCGGCCACACUGGAGCUUAGACACGGUCCAGACUCCUACGGGAGGCAGCAGUGGGGAAUCUUAGACAAUGGUCGCAAGCCUUAUCCAGCCAUCCCGCGUCGGUGACGAAGGCCUUCGGGUUGUAAAGCCCUUUUUUUGGUAAAGAACAGCAGCAGGUUAAUACCCCGCUGUUCUGACGGUACCCAAAGAAUAAGCACCGGCUAACUUCGUG
rnacentral:rRNA from 1 species